CUCUCACUUAGUUCUGAUUAACACAGAUUAACACUCAAAGUCUCAAAGCACAUUGUAGCAGCUGUAGUUUUUCCUUGGAGACAAACAUUUUUCAGAAAUACGUAUUUCUGUGACAUACAGCCUCGAGCUUUCAAUUUUGCAACCAAAAUUGCAGACCAGUUCUCUGGAAGUAAGUCAAAAUGGAUGGAAGAGGAGACGGACCCCACAACGAUGGAAACGACCGCCCUGUGUUCCUCCACUAUUUAUUUCCAAGAGGAGAUCAGCCAAUGGGCAAUCAACUUCAUGGUGGAUUCAUUGCCUGGUUAGUAUUAAACCUGAAUGGUGGACCAGAUGAGCCCGGCAUCGCUGCGUUAGUGGAGGUGUUUCUAGGACCUGUGCACCAAGACCUUGACAACAAUGGAAACAACCAUGAAGUCCAGGGCAACCAUGAAAACCAGGAUGAGGAAAACCAUGGAAACAUCGUCAACAAUGACAUCCAUGACAACCUUGACAACAAUGACGGCAUCCAACGUUGAGGUUAGAGUCCACCAGGGUGUAGAGGAAGACGACCCCCUGCCUGGAGGAUUCGGGAAAAGGUCAAGAGAGGAGGAUGGAGAGGUCAUUGAAGAGGGAAGCAGCAAAAGAUACAGAUGGUGGGAUGAGUUUGCUGAAACCAGCUCUGACAGUAACACUGACAGUGACACUGACAGCACAAACAGUGACGAUUUCAACAGAAAAACUGAAAUUAGUCCAGACAAGCGGGAUGAAGCUGCUGAAGAAGACCCUCUGCCUGGUGUAUCCCGGAAAACAUCAAGAAAGAACGAUGAAGAGGAGAGAAGCAGCAAGAAAUCAAGACAGUUAAGAGUUUGCAGACAGCAACUCUGACAUAGUCACCAUCACAACUGGCCACGAUCUUGCUCACAGUAGUGCAAAUAUAUUGAUGUGGCCAAAGUAAAUCUAAGUCGUUUUGUUGCCUAAACCUAACCAAGGCAAUCUUUUCCUAAACCUAACUAAGUAGUUUUGUUGCAGAAACCAAACCAAGUUGUUUCCUGUGAAGACGGAAGUUUAUGUAGAAAAGACCGAAGCGGAUAUUGACACGUGCGUCACAUGUUGCUGGACAUUCAUAGGAAAAUGCACGACAAAUGAGGAAUAACUAUUUGUAAGAAAUCAUACAAACCGUUGUAUGAGAAA